AGGAAUAUAAUUAGCGGACGAAAUGCCGCUAAGCAUUUUGUCCAGCGUUUUAAGGAUUCUGCCGGUUCGCCGCCAUAAAAUCAAUAAUAACCCUUU